UGAAUCUGAAUCUGAAUUGGACUUGCCAUCACUUGCUAUUACUUCAUCAGGGGCCCACUUACCAUCGGGCAAGCUGACACCCUGGCCAGUCCGCUACUGAAUGGAACAAAAUUCCAGAGAAAGUAUUUGAGGCUUAGCUAUUAGACAUAUCUUGCAGGUCUCCCAUGAAGACCUUGCCUAUGUUCCUAAAUAGGACUUGCAUUUGAGCACACAUUGAAGAGCAGGCGCUUGGCUUCACUAUUGUUGGACAUGUGGUUGCUGGCCAUUUAUGUCUGUUGAUUUAACCUCAAGCCAUCUCUAAACAAAUCUCUGAAGGACAUGGUUUCUGAGCUGGAAGCAGCAGAUCAAGUCUCUCUCGUUGGUCAGCUUUAAUCAGUGCUGCCUAACUUCAACUAGCCAUUCACAAAAUUGGAGCCUGUGGUGAUGCAUUAAGACGAUGAAAACAAUUAUUAUUGGAAGAGCUCAGAAUUCAAUACGAUGAUAUUGAUUGCGCAUUGACAUCUCUUUGACUGUUUACCAAUGCAGCGUGAAUUAGCAUUGAAUGAGCAUUUGCUUAACUAAAUUGACUUUGCCUGUUUGUUAACAUCUUGGGAAAAUACACAGCAGUGUUUAGACCAGUAAGACCAAAGAUGUUAUAGCGGGGCAAGAUGGACCACUCCUGCUAAAUGCAAUGGGCUGACGUGUAGUACGCAACGGAACAGAACGUGGGCCUUUUUUCAUCCAUUUCCGUAACCGGACCCGACCCGACCCGACUCGCAGUGUAAUCAACGUUGUGGGGGAACAGUUUGUGAUAAUUAAUUAAAAUUCUGAAAAUGGGGAGAAGAUUUUUACCAAAUAACUUUUAUUUUUACGAGGACGUUUCCGUAACCGGCUUCCGUCUCCGCACUAUUAUCCUAUGGGAUCUUUGGUGCAGAGACGGAAGCCGGUUACGGAAAUGGGGCCUUAAAUUACCCAUGAAUCUGCCCAUGAUCGUACUACGUCUUUUUCGUCGAGUGGACUAUCUUGCUCGCUAUAGGAUCUCAAGAUUGCAUCAUCAAUGAAUAUUGCAAGGUGUUCAGAAAUCAUGUCAUCAAUGAAUAUCCUUUCCCCUUAUAACAGGAUUAAAUCGAACCUCAUUAAUCUUGUGAAAAGAUUCUGAAAAAUAAAUGUUCGUAAAAAGCAUUGUGUGUGGAAUCUGGAUUUUAUUUGAUUCUACUUUGUCAUUUAUUGAAUCAUUUUCACUGCAAUGACUAUGGCCCUUUCUGAGAUAAAAUAAUUAUUGGAUAACGUUGAUUGAGAAGCAAAAAGUAAAAAUGCAAAUAAAAUUAUAUUAUUGCCAUAAAGAAAGCAGUUCAACCGAGAACACAAAUUGGCUGUAAUCUUACUUUGAUAAUGGUAAAGAAAAGAGUUAUAUCAUGCUGGACUGACCCAAUGCCUGGACUGUGUGUUGAAAUCAUGAGAAAUAGUCUGACUGAAAUUCCUAUUUCUAUCCCAUCUAUUUUUUUGGAAUUGAAAACUGUAUCCUCUGUUCAUGAUCUUGAAGUGCCAGCUCAACAUUGUAUGAUUCACCAGUGUCCUGACAUGUGGGAAAUUUGCCUGCAUGUGUAUUAUUCCCCUGGAAAUGCCUAGGAAUCAUCUCAGUACAAGGGCAGUCCAGGAUGAACCUUGUCAAUGAUACCAUAUCUCCUGAACGAACAAAAAUAUUUCAAACCCAAUCUUUAUGCAUUCAACCUGAGACUCUUUUAUCUUGUUUUUAAAAUUUUCUCUCAUUCUUCGGCAAUUGGAUUUCCACGGAUAUUACACGGCAAGAGAUUCCCUUUUAAAUGCAGGUUCCAAAAGGAAGUCGGCAUUUUAAGAUGGAGUCACUAGGAACUAAAUUGGAAUGUGCUGGAAAGCAUGCACCAUUUGUGAUGCCCAUUUGCCCCGGCAGAGGAGGGAUGUGAAAUUUAUGCUGCUUGCUCACAUCAUGAUGUCAAUGUCCAGCCAGCACUCAAUGUUGUUUAUUGUCUGUGCACAUCGCCACAGGGCCCAAUUUCAUGAAUGACUACCCAUCCCCCCACCCCCUUUAAACCAGGUAUUAUUGAUUAAAGCCAGCUUGCACCUCUUAUGGAGGAGGUAUCUCUGAUGGAAGUAAUCGAUAGGUCUCGGCAGCCUACUAAAGAAAUGCUGUAUCUGAAUGAAGGAGGCGAACAAGGUGUUCAGAAAUCAUGUCAUAAGUAAUAGGAGCAGAAUUAGGCCAUUCGGCCCAUCAAGUCUACCACCAUUCAAUCAUGGCUAAUCUAUCUCUCCCUCCUAACCCCAUUCUCCCGCCGUCUUCCUAUAACCCCUGACACCUGAACUAAUCAAGAAUCUAUCAGUCUCUGCCUUAAAAAUAUCCAUUGAUAAUCGCUUUGGAGAUCUCUAGAUGAGGUGAAGAUGAUCAGGUAAUCAAGAAGCCCUCCAGGCACAUGGGAGAACAGCAGUGGAAGGAGACAUUAGUCAUGGUCAAACCCCCCUAAGACAUGAACGUGGUGUCACACAAAGAUCAAUGGUGUCUCAUCUUCAGGCAGCAUUCCCCGCGGAAUGCACUGCCUGUCCCGAACACUGAUCAAUAUGCCUCACUCAUCACUCAUUGAGCAACAAGGGUUAGGUUAUGGUGAAGAAACUGGGAAGUGAGAGCUACAGCAUUGCACCAUCAACAUUAUGUAUGUGAAGAAAGAUGGCAAAUAAGUUUGGUAUUGACUGGAAGGAGCAAGAACUGUCAGGAUUGUAUUCCAUUGUUUCAGGUGGUUCCUAGUUAGGGGCAACAGAUUCGCAAAUACCCCCACUUGACUCUUACGCACAUACCCGGCUUUGUAUUCAGAAUUCCCCAGCUUGCAUUGAUAGGUGUAUAUCUCAAACCCAAUGGGUAACAAUCAGCAUCACAAGGUCCUUGCGAGACUGAACACCAAACAUCAUCUUCUCUCCAGAGAUGCUGCCUGUCCCAUUGAGUUACUCCAGCAUUUUGUGUCUACUCUCGAUUUACACCAGCAUCUGCAGUUCCUUGUUUUUAUAUUCCUUGAGAUUAUUUAGCAUCGCAGAGUCCCUGUGAUUAUUUCUUGCUUGUGAUUAUUUCUAGUUUCAAUAAACAGAGAUGUCACGCUGAGGCUCUAUAAGGCACUGGUCAGACUGCAUUUGGAGUACUGUGAGCAAAUUUGAGCCCUAUAUCUGAGGAAGGAUGUGCUGGGGACAGUCCAGAGGAGGUUUACAAUAAUUAUUCCAGGAAUGAGUGGGUUAGCAUAUGAUGAACAUUUGACAGCACUGGGCCUGUACCUGCUGGAGUUUUGAAGGUUGAGGGGGGACCUCAUUGAAACUUACAGAAUAUUGAAAGGCAUAGAUAGAGAUGACGAUUCCACUGGUGGGAGAGUCUAGGACCAGAGGUCAUAACCUCCAAAUUAAAGGGCACUCUUUUGGAAAGGUGAGGUGGAACAUCUUUAGUCAGAGGGUAGUCAAUCUGUGGAACUCAUUGCAACAGAGGGCAGUGGAGGCCAAGUCAGUGGAUAUUUUUAAGACAGAAAUAGGCAAAUUCUUGACUAGAACGGGUGUCAAGGGUUAUCGGGAGAAGGCAGGAAAAUUGGAUUAGGAGGCAGAGAUCUGCCACGAUUGAAUGGUGGAGUAGACUCGGUGGGCUGAAUGGCCUAAUGCUACUCCUAUAAUUUGUGAUUUUGUGAAACCAAGUAUGUGCCACAAACUUGUAGUUGGAAUACUCCAGACAACUCCUAAUUCCCAGACGACAGUGUUCUCCAUUAUCGGAGGAGCAGUCAUGCAGUCUCUGGUCAGCGGCAGCUCUGAAAUCAUUGAAGGUGACAUUACAAUCAAGUCAAAUCAUCCUUCCAAUCCACUGCCAACUUAAUCCACAUUACUGGUGCCCAUAACUAGAGAAAUCAGGGAAGUUCUAAAUACAUUUUGAAUGAGAAUCUGCAGGAGGUACCUCUCACUUCCAUCCUCCUUCACCAUAACACAAUCCUUGUGCCUAUUGUUUCAGAUAAACAGGAGGUCCCAGGUAAACUGAUAGGAGAGAGCUGAUGAAGGCACCUGGUAUCUCAAUGUGUUGCAUGCAGCCAUGAGCUCAAAUAGAACAAAAAAAGGUUGCACUGUGAAGGUAUGAUUUAGAUAUCGUGAGGCUCAGGUUCGGGGAAAUAUGCAUCUCAGGUACUAGCCACUGAAGGUGAAUCUCAGGUAAUGACUUUGGUGGGACAGGUACAGAGGAAGAUGAUGGGUUGGCACACUGGUAGUCUUGCUUGAAAAAUCUAGGCACAUGAGGGAUUGUCAUUCUAACCUUGUACAGGUCUUGGCCAUGGCUUCAUUAUAGUAUGGAUAGUGGUCAGUCUAUUUCAACACAUGCAGACGAUGUCUGAAGUCUUAGAUUCCAAAGCAACACCGCAGAAAGUACCAAUUGAGCUGCUGCACUGGAGGUUCACAUAUCCACCAUGCAAGUUCUGAGUGCUGUUAAAUGACAUUGGGUUCUCACUUUGAAACAACAGGAAGUGGCUCCCAAUACUACAUUAUUUCUCCCUCUUCUUCCUUCCUGUUACUCCUCCUACUAUUCCACAACUGCUGGCAAGGGUUAUGCUUGUCUGUUUGGCAGGUUUCCCAGCAUGAAGCAGUUAACGCAGAUUUGGAGAUUUGCUCCAUUAUGUGCAGCAAGGUGGCUCCAGAUUUAUCCAGACAGCUGACGAAUCAAUCGUUUAAUCAGCUCUGUGAUUGUGUGUAUGUAUGAGUGAUUCCCAUGAUAAGAUUUCUUUUUUUUCUGGUGUAUUAGUUUCAGUCUGAAAUUAGGAGAUGAUGGUGAGAAGGCAGUAUUGUCCCCCAGUAGCAACCCUUUGGUCAGGUGUAAUGGCUUAAAAACAGAAGCCACAUGACUGAUACAAAAUAAAAGCAUAUGAAUCCUACCUAUUAUUAGAAUAUGGCUAUUACUAUGCUCAAGUUGUGGUCCUGACCACAUGACUGAUACAAAAUAAAAGCAUAUGAAUCCUACCCAGUUAUUAGACUAUGUCUAUUACUAUGCUCUAGUUGUGGUCGUGACCUAUUUCAAUGAAUUAAAUCCAUUGCAUUUACAAAACAUCUCAUGUUAAAAAAUGUUUGCCUUAAAAUUAUAUGACUGCAAUCAAUGGAUUCCCUUAUAUAUCUAUACACUGUAAAUGGAUCGAUUGUAAUCAGUCUUUCUGCUGACUAGUUAGCACGCAAUAAAAGCUUUUCAAUGUACCUCAGUAUACGUGAUAAUAAACUAAACUGAACUAUCCAUCCGGGAUCCCGGAAUGCUGUCAAACACUGCUAUCCAUUCAAUCCUGGGAGCCCUUAGCUGGGAAGGAUUUGAAUUCUUAUUUUCUGGAGAAGACAGUGUUUGUGACCUCCCUAUUGUAAUGUGUACUGCGGACUGUGAAGUGGUCUGUGCACCAGCCUAGAAAACAAAAAACAUGAACUGAUGACCUUUCCAGAUUCCAGCAGUCCUGUUCUUGUUCUGCUCUGCUUUACUGCCAGUGGCUGGAACACAUGGCAUAACUCCAUCUGCACCUCCUUAGUAAAGCCGAUUCUCUUAAGCUAUUGCUCAUUGCUCUAAUGUAGACAGAAGAAAUACUUUCUAAAUCCCCUCUGUGAAUAUGGCAUCCAGUUAUGAAGACAGUUAUGCUGGAGCAGCCAUUGCAGAACACGCUAUAGUCAGCAGGUUGGAUCCAAAGUCAUUUGCAGCAUAUUGGAAUUUGUCAUCUACCGCAGUGUAUGAGAAGUAACCAAGGUUUGCUGUUCAAAGAGAGCUUGUUGCAUUUCAUUCUACAUUGCUGGGGUAUAACAGUUGUGGACAAGAUGUUGGAAGGAUCACUGCUUUGACAUUAAAAUGCAUUAAGGUGGAUAAAUCCC